CGCUGCUUCUGAUGGUAGUAAUGAUUAACAUCUACUGAGGGAUGCUAAAAUUUUUGAAUCCACUGAAGGAUUCCAGGAAGGCACACCUACUGAUAGGUGUUGGAAGGUAUUGCACUUACUGACAAGUGCUAAACAGGUUUGGGUCAGGCUCGUGACGUUAAACAAACGCUACUAGGAGGCAACCUAGAUUUCUUCUUAC
rnacentral:lncRNA from 1 species